AAAAAGGUUUUUUUAAAAACCAUAAUUUUAAUCAUAGAAGAAAAGU
rfam:Loxodonta africana unplaced genomic scaffold scaffold_31, whole genome shotgun sequence.